rnacentral:rRNA from 1 species
AGUGAACGCUGGCGGCAGGCCUAACACAUGCAAGUCGAACGGCAGCACAAGAGAGCUUGCUCUCUGGGUGGCGAGUGGCGGACGGGUAAGGAAUGCAUCGGAAUCUGCCCAUUUGUGGGGGAUAACCUCGGGAAACCGGGACUAAUACCGCAUACGACCUACGGGUGAAAGCAGGGGAUCUUCGGACCUUGCGCAGAUGGAUGAGCCGAUGCCGGAUUAGCUAGUUGGAGGGGUAAAGGCCCACCAAGGCGACGAUCCGUAGCUGGUCUGAGAGGAUGAUCAGCCACACUGGGACUGAGACACGGCCCAGACUCCUACGGGAGGCAGCAGUGGGGAAUAUUGGACAAUGGGCGCAAGCCUGAUCCAGCCAUGCCGCGUGUGUGAAGAAGGCCUUCGGGUUGUAAAGCACUUUUGUUGGGAAAGAAAAGCAGCCGGUUAAUACCCGGUUGUCAUGACGGUACCCAAAGAAUAAGCACCGGCUAACUUCGUG